GUGGGGAAUAUUGGACAAUGGGCGAAAGCCUGAUCCAGCCAUGCCGCGUGUGUGAAGAAGGUCUUCGGAUUGUAAAGCACUUUAAGUUGGGAGGAAGGGCAGUAAGUUAAUACCUUGCUGUUUUGACGUUACCGACAGAAUAAGCACCGGCUAACUUCGUGCCAGCAGCCGCGGUAAUACGAAGGGUGCAAGCGUUAAUCGGAAUUACUGGGCGUAAAGCGCGCGUAGGUGGUUUUGUAAGUUGGAGGUGAAAUCCCCGGGCUCAACCUGGGAACUGCCUCCAAAGCUGCAUGACUAGAGUACGGUAGAGGGUAGUGGAAUUUCCUGUGUAGCGGUGAAAUGCGUAGAUAUAGGAAGGAACACCAGUGGCGAAGGCGACUACCUGGACUGAUACUGACACUGAGGUGCGAAAGCGUGGGGAGCAAACAGGAUUAGAUACCCCAGUAGUCC
rnacentral:rRNA from 1 species